ACCCAGCUGACGAGUCUCAAAUAGGACGAAACUCGCGUCCUGAAU
rnacentral:hammerhead_ribozyme from 1 species